GACGAACGCUGGCGGCGUGCUUAACACAUGCAAGUCGAGCGGAGCGGCGAACGGGUGAGUAACGCGUGAGUAACUGCCCCCCUCCCUGGGAUAACAGUUGGAAACGGCUGCUAAUACCGGAUAGUGGGGGAUGACUCGCGUCCUAUCAGCUUGUUGGGGGGGUAGUGGCCUACCAAGGCGACGACGGGUAGCCGGCCUGGGAGGGCGACCGGCCCCAUUAGGCUAAGGUACGUCCCAACGGGCUACGGGGGGCAGCAGUGGGGAAUAUUGCCCAAGGGGGGAAACCCUGAUGCAGCAACGCCGCGGGCGGGAUGACGGCCUUCGGGUUGUAAACCGCUUUCGGCCAUGACGCGGUAGUGGCAGAAGAAGCACCGGCUAACUACGUGCCAGCAGCCGCGGUAAUUC
rnacentral:rRNA from 1 species